GAUGAACGCUGGCGGCGUGCCUAAUACAUGCCAGUCGAGCGAACAGACGAGGAGCUUGCUCCUCUGACGUUAGCGGCGGACGGGUGAGUAACACGUGGAUAACCUACCUAUAAGACUGGGAUAACUUCGGGAAACCGGAGCUAAUACCGGAUAAUAUAUUGAACCGCAUGGUUCAAUAGUGAAAGACGGUUUCGCUGUCACUUAUAGAUGGAUCCGCGCCGCAUUAGCUAGUUGGUAAGGUAACGGCUUACCAAGGCAACGAUGCGUAGCCGACCUGAGAGGGUGAUCGGCCACACUGGAACUGAGACACGGUCCAGACUCCUACGGGAGGCAGCAGUAGGGAAUCUUCCGCAAUGGGCGAAAGCUUGACGGAGCAACGCCGCGUGAGUGAUGAAGGUCUUCGGAUCGUAAAACUCUGUUAUUAGGGAAGAACAAAUGUGUAAGUAACUAUGCACGUCUUGACGGUACCUAAUCAGAAAGCCACGGCUAACUACGUG
rnacentral:rRNA from 1 species